AAUGAGGUGGAAUUUGGCUGCAUGGAUCUUCCACAACCGUUACUGACUCAAUGGGCUCUCACUCACGUGCCAUCCCCAGGAGUGUCUUUCACAAGCUUCGGGGAGUUGGUGGGCGAGAGUGACCUAGCAGUGGAGAACAGUGAUGUUGAA